UCCGGGCGAGGGGGAGGGGGAGGCUCCGGCGGGGCGAGGUCUUUUCCGGUGAACCCCAGGUGAGCCAGGGCUGGUGGGGCGGCCACGGGGUCCCUGCGGGAAGGUCUGCAGGUGCGGGGGCGCCCAGGGCAAGCCCGGCGGGAGCUUGCGGAGGCGAAGUGGAAGCAGACAGGGUCUGGCCCCGCAAACCUCGAGGGGGCUGCGCGGGUUUGGGGGCUGCUUGCGGAUUCAGAGUGCAAGUGUGGGGGUCCCAGCCCGGAUGCGAGCUGAUUCCGGCCUGGGCGGCCCACGGACAGGACUGCAGGAGCUGUUCCCCCGAGGGUGCUGGCGGAGCUGUUCCCCCUGGGUGCUGGUGGAGCUGUCCCCACAGGGUGCUGGUGGAGCUGUCUCCUUGAAAAUUUUGGCCAAACUGUCCCCCACGGGGGUGUUGGUGGUGCUGUCCCCCACAGGGUGCUGGUGGAGCUGUCCACUCUGGAGUGCUGGUGGAGCUGUCCACUCCGGGGUGCUGAUGGAGCUGUCCCCACAGGGUGCUGAUGGAGCUGUCCCCACAGGGUGCUGGUGGAGCUGUCCACUCCGGGGUGCUGAUGGAGCUGUCCCCACAGGGUGCUGAUGGAGCUGUCCCCACAGGGUGCUGGUGGAGCUGUCCACUCCGGGGUGCUGAUGGAGCUGUCCCCACAGGGUGCUGAUGGUGCUACGUCCCCCACAGGGUGCUGGCCCCAGGGACGUCUGCCUGCAGGACAAUGCUCAGGCCUGGCUUUGAGCUGCUGGGGGCAGAGCUGCGCCUUCCGUGCACAGUGCACAUGACUCACUGUGGACAGAGGAAGCAAUGGCCCCAGGAAAAGUUCCAGUGCCAAAGCUCUGUUCGUGCCUUUGAAGAAACCGUUUCUUGGGUGAACACCAUGCUGCUAGCUCUGUCUGCUGAGUGCACCUCUGGCCUCACGCUGAACCAGGCUCCAAACGCAGUGCCUGGUGCAAAUGCAUGAGCCAACGCACGAGAGCAUGAUGUCACCGUCACACUGUCCUCUGAGGAGCACCGAGAACAUUCCCUGUUUCUGAGGUUCAAGGAAUCUGGACAUACGUGUGGUUUUCAAAAA